rnacentral:tRNA from 1 species
GGGCAGGUACCCAAGCGGCCAACGGGGGCAGACUGUAAAUCUGCUGACGAAAGUCUUCGGAGGUUCGAAUCCUUCCCUGCCCA